rnacentral:rRNA from 1 species
AAACCGGGAGAUAGCUGGUUCUCCCCGAAAGCUAUUUAGGUAGCGCCUCGUGAAUUCAUCUCCGGGGGUAGAGCACUGUUUCGGCUAGGGGGCCAUCCCGGCUUACCAACCCGAUGCAAACUGCGAAUACCGGAGAAUGUUAUCACGGGAGACACACGGCGGGUGCUAACGUCCGUCGUGAAGAGGGAAACAACCCAGACCGCCAGCUAAGGUCCCAAAGUCAUGGUUAAGUGGGAAACGAUGUGGGAAGGCCCAGACAGCCAGGAUGUUGGCUUAGAAGCAGCCAUCAUUUAAAGAAAGCGUAAUAGCUCACUGGUCGAGUCGGCCUGCGCGGAAGAUGUAACGGGGCUAAACCAUGCACCGAAGCUGCGGCAGCGAACGUAUCACUUAAAGCGAUUCAGCGGGUUACGAUUGACGGAGCGAAGCGACGUCAAAGCGUAUACAAAGUCGAGUCGGUUUAAGGAUACGUUCGUUGGGUAGGGGAGCGUUCUGUAAGCCUGCGAAGGUGGCCUGUGAGGGUUGCUGGAGGUAUCAGA